rnacentral:rRNA from 1 species
GAUGAACGCUGGCGGCAUGCCUAAUACAUGCAAGUCGAACGAGAGGAAGGAAAGCUUGCUUUCCUGGAUCUAGUGGCGAACGGGUGAGUAACACGUAGGUAACCUGCCCAUGUGCCCGGGAUAACUUCUGGAAACGGAUGCUAAAACCGGAUAGGUAGCAGACAAGCAUUUGACUGCUAUUAAAGUGGCCUUGGCCAUGAACAUGGAUGGACCUGCGGUGCAUUAGCUGGUUGGUGAGGUAACGGCCCACCAAGGCGACGAUGCAUAGCCGGCCUGAGAGGGCGGACGGGCCACAUUGGGACUGAGACACGGCCCAAACUCCUACGGGAGGCAGCAGUAGGGGAAUAUUGGGCAAUGGGCGCAAGCCUGACCCCAGCAACGCCGCGUGAA